CAAUAUCUCUCAUGAUCCCAAUUUUAAUAUUGUUUAUAUCUAUUUACUGAGCUGUGUAUGAAGUUGUUCGUUUAUCAUUAGCUCUUCUUGCGAGAUAAUUAUUUUCAGCAUCCCAUAAAUUACCAAUUUUCCUUUUGUCAGUUAACCAUAAACAUUAGAAUCUCUAUCAAAAUCUAAAAUACAUUACUUUCAUGGAUUCCAACAAUCAUUGCAGUAUAGCAGUUUGAGGAGCUGCAAAUCGAUCGUCGCAGUCUCUCUAUCCCCAACUCCUUUCUCUCAGUGUCAGCUGAGCGGUGUGAGCAACUGACUCAAUCAAAAAAUUGAGAAGGCUAUGGAGGUCCUGUCAGGUCAAGGGAUAGAGUGUACAUAUGAGCAGUGGAAGGAUCUCAAAUCUGCGUGUAGAGCAUUCCAGGCGUGCUGCUCUUUCAUCGAACAAGAAAUCCUUCCGAGACGAGCUGAAGUUCCAGUUGGACAUGUACAAGGUUAAUGUAGCAGUAGUGUCGUCCGUUUGAACUGGUGGUUGUAAAAUAUCAAAGUAGUAAUUGUUUGCUGGAUCAGUAUCACCCAUCUAGGCAGUGUCAGAAAUUUCCUUAUGUUGCUAUCCUUUUUUGUGAACUUUGUUGGAAUCUAAGCAGCGUUGGUAUUCUUACA